UACGGAGGGUGCGAGCGUUAUCCGGAUUCACUGGGUUUAAAGGGUGUGUAGGCGGGUAUUUAAGUCAGUGGUGAAAUCUCCAGGCUCAACCUGGAAACUGCCAUUGAUACUAUUUAUCUUGAAUAUUGUUGAGGUAGGCGGAAUACAUCAUGUAGCGGUGAAAUGCUUAGAUAUGAUGUAGAACACCGAUUGCGAAGGCAGCUUACUAAACAAUCAUUGACGCUGAGGCACGAAAGCGUGGGGAUCAAACAGG
rnacentral:rRNA from 1 species